GCGCCCAUCGUCUAGUGGUUAGGACACCGCCCUCUCACGGCGGGAACAGGGGUUCGAGUCCCCUUGGGCGUACCA
rnacentral:tRNA from 1 species